rnacentral:rRNA from 1 species
CGUUUAGGGGUAAACCUGAGAAACCCGAAAGGUCGAAGGGAGAAAUUCAUUCGCGUUUCGAUAUUGGAACGAUAGGGUGUUGUGCGACAGAAGUUCGUUCGCGGACUUUUGCGCCCGCCGUUUUGUUAACCGAUUUCGGACGCGUGCACUUUCCUCCUGGUAGGACGUCGCGAUCCGUUGGGCGUCGGUCUACGGCUCACGGUGGAGCCCGUUCGUCCUCCUUGUGUCGUACGAACGGACCCGUGUGUUCCGGCCGACACGCUCGACGGUAUGCAAAAGGUUCGAGACCGCAAAUUUUUUGCGUCCGGCUCGUGACAAGCGCGUUAGAUGUGUCGGAAGACCGGACCUAGUGCCGAUCCCGACCUCUAACGACUGUUGGUUGCGUAGUCCUCGGACAGAUCUCGUAAAAACCGAUCAGCGACGCUAUAGCUUUGGGUACUUUCAGGACCCGUCUUGAAACACGGACCAAGGAGUCUAGCAUGUGCGCGAGUCAUUGGGAUUUUAACUAAACCUAAAGGCGUAAUGAAAGUAAAGGUCUUCCUAGCGGAGACCGAGGGAAGACGAGAGGUUUGCCUUUAAAACGGCCUCUUCGCAUUCCCGGGGCGUCUCGUUCUCAUCGCGAGAAGAGGCGCACCAAGAGCGUACACGCUGGGACCCGAAAGAUGGUGAACUAUGCCUGGUCAGGACGAAGUCAGGGGAAACCCUGAUGGAGGUCCGUAGCGAUUCUGACGUGCAAAUCGAUCGUCGGAACUGGGUAUAGGGGCGAAAGACUAAUCGAACAUC